GACAGUUUUCUAGUAUCUGCAAGAGCACGCGCUCUAUUGAUUCUAAAUCAAAGAGCUCUAACUCAUACGCAAGUUAAUCGUUUGUGUAGCUUUUGCGGAUCCCAGUGGAAAUUAUAAAAAAAUAUAGAGCAAUUUAAAUGUUUAAAGUACUGGAUGUAGUUAAGCUCUUUGAAAUAUAUCAAUAGAAUCUUGCAGAUAUACUUGUUGUUACCUAAGUAAAUGUGUUUUUUGGAAAUACAUUUGAAAAUCAAAAUUGAAAAAAUUUGCAUUUUUAAUUAGCGAGAAUUUUAGCCGAUAGAAAUAAGUGCAAUAUGAAUUCUGCCUUACAGAAUGUGUAUAUUAUGUUCUAUGGCUAAAAAUAUCUGCAUGGAUUGAUUGAAAUGUGGCACGCAAGAAAGCAACAAACUUAAAGUUACAAACAAAUCACAUACUUUCCUUAACGAAAAAGAACAAAUCGAAAUAUUAAGCUUACUAUUCAAUAUUUCUUAAAAAUAACGCAAGACCAUAUUUUAAGCAACAUAAAUGAAUAAAACGAAUAAUCGAAGUUAAAAGCUAUUCGAAUUCAGACUUCGUUAUAACUAUUACGAUGAAUUCUUUUGGCGUACAAAAGCCUUCAUCUGCAAACGACCCUCAUGGCUCUGCCACAUUUGAUGGUUCUAAGCGACCCCAAAUAAGUGGUGGCCGAUUCGAUUUUGAGGAUGGAGGAACAUUUUGUGGCGGGUGGGAAGAGGGCAAGGCCCAUGGGCAUGGCGUAUGUACCGGACCUAAACAUCAAGGCGCAUAUGCUGGAGCUUGGAACUAUGGGUUUGAGGUAUCUGGAGCAUAUAUCUGGCCAAGCGGUUCACAUUAUGAAGGUCAAUGGCAAAAUGGACGACGUCAUGGUUUGGGCGUGGAACAAAUUGGGCGUCAAAUAUAUCGAGGGGAAUGGUCAAAAGAUGGACAUAAGGGAAGGUAUGGUAUUCGCGAAAGCACUGUUUCAACUGCCAGAUACGAAGGAACGUGGAAUAUGGGUUAUCAAGACGGUUACGGAUGUGAAACUUAUGCUGACGGAGGGAAAUAUCAGGGACAAUGGCAAGAAGGAAAACGUCAUGGCUAUGGUAUUCGGACUUCAGCACCCUUCGGAUUAGCAUCACAUUAUCGACGAAAAGAUAUUCACACAUCUUUAAACUCAUUACGCAGUUCAGAUAUUGGAGAAGUCGAUAAAGGUCGGUCUGAAGAAAUACGAGGCGGUUUCGUGUUAACUGCAAGAUCGGAUAAACUACCUGCACGACGUAAUAGUUUGACCGAGAAGUCAAAAAAAGGAUUUUUAUCUGGAUUUAAAAUGCGAAAACAAAAAAGUACUGGAGAUUUGGAAAAACGUGGUACUUUAACAUCAAGCAGCGUUAGGUCAACGGCGUCAACCUCAUCAUGGGCAAGCACCGGAUCCGAACAAUCCAACUUAACUACAAGGUCGGCUCACACGGAUUCCAACGCUAGCUUUACAAUGGAUGAUGAACAAUUGGAUUCCGCAGUGACGGAAACAUAUAUGGGCGAAUGGAAGAAAGACAAACGCUGUGGGCAUGGCGUUGCUGAACGUAGUGAUGGUCUUAAAUACGAAGGAGAGUGGUAUAAUAACAAAAAACACGGCUACGGUGUAACUACAUUCCGAGACGGUACGUUUGAAGAAGGGAAAUAUAAGAAUAAUAUUUUAAUGACCAGCCAAAAAAAGAAACACUUGUUUCUUGCGCGAUCACGUAAGUUCCGAGACCGCAUCACUAUAGCGGUCAAUUCAGCACAAAGGGCGCUAAAAAUGGCAAUGCAAAGAUCUGACAUUGCCAUUUCACGUACUUCAACUGCUUCUGAUAGAGCACAAAACGCUGAUAUUGCAGCUGAUCAAGCUCGCAUAGAUUGUGAACUCGCUGUUAGUAUGGCACGUGAGUUUGCUCCUGAUUUUAAGCCAUCAGUUCUAGAAAGAUUUCAGAAGCUGUUUUCUCGAAAUCACACAAAAUUGAACCCAUUGAGUGGAAACACCCCUUCAUUACCUUAUGAUGGAAAUCUUAGAGUACCACAAAAAAGUGGAUACGCAAUGAAAGAACUGAAUGAACCCGAUCUCAAUGUGCCUCUUCGACAACAAUCAGAUAUUCCGUCAAAUUCUGUACUCGCACAAAAAAAAGUGACACCACAAACCGAUUUUGCCAAUUUAGUUAAUCAACCAAGUCAAUCCGGUAACAAUUCUUUUCCUCAGAUGUAUCUUUCACAAAUCAAAUACAAUGAAAAUCAAUCAAAGCAGUAUCAAGAAAAUAUCCAACAACAAGGAAAUAGCCCUGCACCAUACAGACAACGAAUUGGAGAAAAUGACAUCACAGUUGGACAAAAUAAAAACAUUAUUAAUGUCAGCAAUUAUAUUUCGAAUGCUAAUACAGACCAACUUGAUGGCUAUAUGUACAAUAACUCUGGCCACAGGUCAAGCAUAGUUGCAAACAACUCAAAAACAAAUUACAAUGAACAACAAAAAUCGCAUCAGCAAAACUUAACACAAACAUUCAAUCAGCCAUUAGCUAAUCAAAGUUCUCAAUUUUAUCAAAUGUCACCACAACAAACCGAAAUAUCAGGGGAAUCAAGAAAACCAACGAGGCCGCCUCCACUCAAUGAAAUUAAUCAACAAUUGUCCAUUGAUUAUUUCGACCACUAUAAGAGGCCUCCUAGUCGAGACUCAUCUACAGAUCGUUAUCCUCGGACAGCUAGUCGAAUUAGCUCACGCCAACCAUCGAUUGAUCGAUCUAUACCUUUACAAUCAAGAGAUAUGCCAUCACCUAAUAAAGAAAUAAGGCCACGAGAGGGUUCAUACAAUCGAGAAAGUGCACCAAGAUCUAUUAAUAAUAAUUUUUCAAAUCAAAUUCCCAAUGCGGCAGAAAAAAGACCGUCCUUAAAUCAACCUUUCGAAGAUGUUCUUUUACAUCAGCGAACAUUAGGUCAGGAUAUUAUUCCAUCCCCAAUUACUCCGAAACGAACAGAAAGCUUGUAUACUCCUGCAAAAGUGAUUAUUCCAAAAGGAGCUCCAGUUAACUCUUACAACUAUACAGGAAACAAACCCAUAAAGUUCCGAGAUAUAGUGGUCACCUCAAAACGUCUUUUUUGAGAGGAGCUCCUGGAGAUCAGCUGUAUCUCUUUUUCAAAUAAAUAUUUUUACUAGUACUAAGUCUUAAGAUACAGUUAAAAGAUACCAUAAUAUGUGUAUAAAUUUUUGGAUCAAUAAAUUAAAAAGUUUUCUCAGAAAAAAUUCUGGAAAAUUCACUUUUUUUCGGCCGCCUAACUUUAUAUAACCCCUUAAAGCAUUUUUAGUAGUUUUCAACAUAACCUUUGUGUGGGAGGUAGGCGUAGUUAUAAUUCGAUUUCCUCCAUUGACUGUAUAAGUUAGAACCUAAAAGAAACGAACCUACAGAGUUUCGUUGUUCUAGCUUAAGUCGUUUACGAGAUACAUAUGUACAAAAAACUUAAUAGUCAGUAUAUAUGUAUAUAUACUCGGUGCAACAUGUUGCGAGAGUAUAAAAAUUAACACAGAUCAAAUACGCGUAAUUGUGUCAUAGCUAAUCCAUGAAAUUUGAUACAUACAAAAUUUGGCAAAAAUAACGGUAUUACAACGUUUGAAAAAUUCCAUUGAUGCCGAAAUUCAAAUACAUUUGUGUGUAAAUAAGGAAAUAACAUACAAAUAUACAUAGAUAUUGAAUGUAUUGUCCAAGAUAGAAAGGGAUUUCAUUGCCUGCUGCUUAAAAAUUGAGACAAUUAUUGUCCAACUUCCAAGAAAGGCAGUGUCCAAAUUAAACAGUGAAUAUAUGGUUAUUUUGUUCUAUAUUAUGUUGGUACAGAACAUUUUGUCUAAUUUAAGCGAGUGUCCAAAUUAUAAAGAUGUUCAACUUUACAGGUUUUACUGUACUUUUGUCCAUGAAAAGUUCCUCAAUAUUGAGUAUAGCAUACAUAUGUAUGUAUGUAGGUAUUAUAUUACCUUACUUUUGUUUUAAGGAGCUACAUCUAUGUAGUUAGAAGACCUAAAAAUGAACUUUAUCAAAAAUUUUCCUGAGAAAACUUCUAAUUUUAUUAUUCUAAAAUUUUUUACACAUUUUAUAGUAAUUUGACUACUUUUUUAUUUGUAAAAAUAAAAAUAACAAAAUGACACCUUCUAAAAAAAUUUAUUUUUACCAUAAUUUUGGCCUUCAUUUGUGUAUAACAAAAAGAAAAUUAUUGUUAAUAAAUAAGCUUCAAUUAAGUACUAUCCAAUAUGUCACAGUUUAGAUGUGAAUAACAAAAUUAUCUCCCGAGUUAGUAAACCAUCUAAACGUAUGAAUUGAAUUAAAUUUACGAUGUGGCAGCAUCAUUCGAUUCUUCUGACAUGUUGAUGUUUAUGCCUCUGACACAUAUGUAAUUAUUUAUAGAAUCACCAAAAUAUAUACAAUUAAAAAACGAACAAAGAACGACAUUUUCUAAACACCAAAUACUUUGUUCAACUUCGGUGGCCAAGCGGUCUGUGUUCUUAUUGAAAUAUGUAUAAAUCUAUUUUUAAAUACGCAAUGCGUAUAAAACAUUAAAAUGAACUGGCCUACUGCCCAAAUUGAGCUAAAAAGGAAACAAACAUUGUGGAUCGAAAAAUAAAAUAUGUCAAUAAUAUAUUGUGAAAUUGUAUAUCAACAAGUGAAAAGUGUUUACUAUUUAGUUAAAAAAAAAUUGUGUGGUUUGAAUUUCCAUCAGUAAUACAUACUUAACGGUUGCAGAGUUAUGAAAUUACUCUAAAAUGGAUUGGUAUCCUGAAGAAGAUGAAGAAGAUUUAAUGUAUUCGCCAGCUUUAUUGG